UGGUUGCAAAGUCACCGCUGUUUUCAAGAA
rnacentral:piRNA from 1 species